rnacentral:rRNA from 1 species
UACAGAGGUCCCGAGCGUUGUUCGGAUUCACUGGGCGUAAAGGGUGCGUAGGUGGUUGUGCAAGUCUGAUGUGAAAUCUCCGGGCUUAACCCGGAAAUGGCAUUGGAAACUGCAUGGCUAGAGGGUUGGAGGGGGGACUGGAAUACUUGGUGUAGCAGUGAAAUGCGUAGAUAUCAAGUGGAACACCAGUGGCGAAGGCGGGUCCCUGGACAACACCUGACACUGAGGCACGAAAGCUAGGGGAGCAAACAGG